AUACGGAGGAUCCGAGCGUUAUCCGGAUUUAUUGGGUUUAAAGGGUGCGCAGGCGGCCAUUUAAGUCAGCGGUUAAAUCGUGGGGCUCAACCCCAUUCUGCCGUUGAUACUGGGUGGCUUGAUUGCGGUCAAGGUUGGCGGAAUUCGUUGGGUAGCGGGGAAAUGCAUAGAUAUCACGAAGAACUCCGAUCGCGAAGGCAGCUCACCGGGCCGGAACUGACACUGAUGCUCGAAAGUGCGGGUAUCAAACAGGAUUAGAUACCCUGGUAGUCCACACAGUAAACGAUGAAUACUCGCUGUUUGCGAUAUACAGUAAGCGGCCAAGCGAAAGCAUUAAGUAUUCCACCUGGGGAGUACGCCGGCAACGGUGAAACUCAAAUGAAUUGGCGGGG
rnacentral:rRNA from 1 species